AGGAGGAGGAUGUUGUUGUUGUUCUGUCGGCCAGCGUCUGACUGCUGCCCCACGUCCGGGUUUCUUCUUCGGUGGUUCGUAGAGGGGCGGACCCUCCGGAGGCUACUGCAGCCUCAUUGGUCCCAUGGGCUCUACCGUAAGGGGCGUGACUUCGCCACUAUUGAGGCCGCUGCCAACACAGCCCAUCCCGCCACCUCAAUAACCUCUUCUGCAUUGGUAGCUGUAAGCCCCCCAACCCCCAGGGAGAUAGGAAGAUUAACCAUCCACUGAUGGUUUAAACCCACCGAGGUACUGAUUAAAUGUGCUGGUUGAUGCCUUU